rnacentral:rRNA from 1 species
UACGGAGGGGGCUAGCGUUGUUCGGAAUUACUGGGCGUAAAGCGCGCGUAGGCGGCUUUGUAAGUUAGAGGUGAAAGCCCAGGGCUUAACCCUGGAAUUGCCUUUAAGACUGCAUCGCUUGAACAUCGGAGAGGUAAGUGGAAUUCCGAGUGUAGAGGUGAAAUUCGUAGAUAUUCGGAAGAACACCAGUGGCGAAGGCGACUUACUGGACGAUUGUUGACGCUGAGGUGCGAAAGCGUGGGGAGCAAACAGG